CGGGAGGUCUAGGGGGCGGUGCAGCUGGGCCUCAGGCAGUCAUGGGACCCUUAGAAGGGGGAGGUGGAUGGCACAGGCUUAGAGAGACUUCAGGACGCCACGCCGGGGCUGCUGGCUUUCAGAUGGGCUCAGGGAGCCCAGGAGCCUGCGGAAGUGCAGAAGCUGGAAAAGGCAGGGGAAUGACUUUCCCUGGGGCCUCGGAGACAUUGCUCUGCUGGGAUUUGAACUCCAGGAAGCCCAUUUCGGACUUCAGCCUCCACGCAGGUGCUGUCAUCAUAGAGAACCAAAGCCCAGAGACAGUGGUAAACCUACCAGGGUGUCAUACCCAAGGACUGGCAGAGCUGGGAUUCUGUGUCCCGGCCGGGUUUGUCCCAGGGCCGGCUCCCAGGACGGGAAGAUGUGCGGCUCUGUGGUGCCCGCAGACUGCUCACAUCGGCACAGGGUUGGAGCCACGUUCUCUACACCCAAGUCUUCCGGCCCUCUAUCACUGUCGGAUUCUGUUGUGCCUUUGGCUUGGUGCCUGAGCUGCCCCCAAUCCCCAUGCUGCGCCUCGGUGAGGGCGGAUCUUGCACAUGGGGUCUGCAGCCCGCACAGAGCGCUGAUUGAGUCUUCAAGGUCGGGGUGCACCUGGCCAGCUCUCUCGCUUCUUUCCAUGCAGUGAGUAAGAUGCAGCCAGACUCUGUGCCCUGCACAGGAACCCAGAGACAAGCCUCACUUCCGGUCUCACUGAGCUCACAGUCUUCAGGGGGAAGCAGGCAAAGGAGCAGUUAAAUCUAGGAAUGAGAAAUGCCUGCACAGUAGUAAGCAUGAGACAAGGCAGAGAAGCCCAGGAUGGACAGGAGUCAUCUGAGAAGGUCCUUCAGGAGCCUGGGCUGGAUGUGAAGGGAUGAGUGGGCUUACUUGUACAGAAGAAAGGAGAGACUGUCAAAGCCCUGGGAUCAGCAUGUACAAAGACACGUACAAAGGAGAAAAUGCCUACACACUGUCAUAAUAAGAUUAAGGAUAUCAAAUUAAAU
rnacentral:lncRNA from 1 species